rnacentral:rRNA from 1 species
GACGAACGCUGGCGGCGUGCUUAACACAUACAAGUCGAGCGGUAAGGCCCUUCGGGGUACACGAGCGGCGAACGGGUGAGUAACACGUGAGUAAUCUGCCCAUCACUUCGGGAUAACUCCGGGAAACCGGUGCUAAUACCGAAUAUGACCACUUCAGGCAUCUGAUGGUGGUGGAAAGUUCCGGCGGUGAUGGAUGAGCUCGCGGCCUAUCAGCUUGUUGGUGGGGUAGUGGCCUACCAAGGCUUCGACGGGUAGCCGGCCUGAGAGGGUGACCGGCCACACUGGGACUGAGACACGGCCCAGACUCCUACGGGAGGCAGCAGUGGGGAAUAUUGGACAAUGGGCGAAAGCCUGAUCCAGCAACGCCGCGUGAGGGAUGACGGCCUUCGGGUUGUAAACCUCUUUCAGCAGGGACGAAGCGCAAGUGACGGUACCUGCAGAAGAAGCACCGGCCAACUACGUG